GCUCAAAUCGAACUUGGUCUAAAAUUCAACGAUUAUUACAUAGGUAUUAUUCUUUUACAACUCACAGUAUGGCAUGGACUCUCAACUACCACUGAAUGGACAAACAAAUCAAAAUACAAUGCAUUGUUACGAAUAUAGACAAGAUGAAAACCACAUUAGGUACACGAAGAUGUUACCAUGAAUAGAAGAAAUAAGUUAACCCAUUUCUGACGAAAACAGCCAAACAAGAAGAAAACAGAACUGAUGAUGAUUUCAUUCACUUGUGCCAUGUUUGCUAAGGACCUGUGAAAAAGAAUUUGUAAUGAUCAAAGAAGAAAACAACCAGUAAAUAUAUUCCUCUGAGGUAGGAAAACAAAGCAACAACUGAAAGGGUGCAACGAGAGACUGUUUCCUGAAGUUAUUUCUUUGAUUGAUUAGAAAUCAUUUACAAACAGUAAAACUAAUU